GUGUUCGGGUUGUCAUGCCAAUGGCACUGCCCGGUAGCUAAAUGCGGAAGAGAUAAGUGCUGAAAGCAUCUAAGCACGAAACUUGCCCCGAGAUGAGUUCUCCCUGACUCCCUGAGAGUCCUGAAGGAACGUUGAAGACGACGACGUUGAUAGGCCGGGUGUGUAAGCGCAGCGAUGCGUUGAGCUAACCGGUACUAAUGAACCGUGAGGCUUAACCUUACAACGCCGAAGGUGUUU
rnacentral:rRNA from 1 species